rnacentral:rRNA from 1 species
CAAUAGCGUAUAUUAACGUUGUUGCAGUUAAAAAGCUCGUAGUUGGAUUUCUGGAGGGAGCGUCGGCCUGUAUUUACGAGUGCGUGACGUCUCUGUCCAUCCUUGCGGGAAGGCACGGCAUUGAUUUGUUGUGUCGGAUCGCAUCAUUUACUGUGAAAAAAUUAGAGUGUUCAAAGCAGGCUUUCGCUUGAAUACAUUAGCAUGGAAUAAUAAGAUAGGACUUUGGUGCUAUUUUGUUGGUUGAGCCUAAAGUAAUGAUUAAUAGGGAUAGUUGGGGGCACCUGUAUUGCGUUGUCAGAGGUGAAAUUCUUGGAUUUACGCAAGACAAACAGCUGCGAAAGCGUCUGCCAAGGAUGUUUUCAUUAA